UACAGAGGUCUCAAGCGUUGUUCGGAUUCAUUGGGCGUAAAGGGUGCGUAGGCGGCGCGGUAAGUCGGGUGUGAAAUCUCGGGAGCUUAACUCCGAAACUGCAUUCGAUACUGCCGUGCUUGAGGACUGGAGAGGAGACUGGAAUUUACGGUGUAGCGGUGAAAUGCGUAGAUAUCGUAAGGAAGACCAGUGGCGAAGGCGGGUCUCUGGACAGUUCCUGACGCUGAGGCACGAAGGCCAGGGGAGCAAACGGG
rnacentral:rRNA from 1 species